UACGGGCCGGGGCGUCCGGCCGCGACUGGGCGCGCGUUGGCUGCCGAGUGUCUUCUGUCGGCUCGUCAGCUCUUCAGGUUUAUUCAGAAAGUGCUUGCUAGCGCCACUGUGACCCCGACAGAUAUCCGCGACUCCUGCCGUUAUGGAGUUUACCGAGGGGUGGAGGGAGGCAGACAUUAAUCAGGAAGGGGAGGGUCCCCCCGCAGGCCAGCUCCUUGCUCACCUUGUGCCCCCUGAGGCAUCCGGAGGCCUCUCCCUGAGCCCCAAGCCCAGAGCCCAGCAAGGCAGCUCCAAGAAGCACAGCUGCUUAAACCUGAGAAAUCAUCUACUCAAAACCACUGACUUUUUACAAAUUGGGAAACAGAGGCCCCAGCAAAGACAUUCCGACCUGAAUGCACCCUGCUGCUAGCGAGGAGGACUAGACCCAAGGUAUUUGACAUCCCAGCUUGGUGAUGGGCUCACCCCCAUUUCCCACCAGAUCUAACCAUUCAAGGUUCCAGGAUUCUGCAUUUUUCUGGCCUAAUACCAAACACAACCACAAGGAUGCCCCUGAUCACACAGGAAUUCACCCUCCUACACAGAGUAUACGAGGUACUUUGUGACUUUGGUUACCUAAAUCACAAGCCACAUGCCAUUGGCAUCCUCAUCAUCACCUUGUUUUAUGUCCUCUUCAGGCUGAGCACGGUUUCGAGCACUUAGAGGUGGUGGGUUGGUUACUGGAUCACAGACUCUAAUCUUAUUAGGGAGAGACCCAGGCAUGGGUAUGGGGAGCAGCUUAAAGACAAACAGCUCAGAAACGCAACUGAACAAACGAGGUUGUGGUUACCAUUCAUCUGUUGUGAAUGAAACAGAUCGAUUUAUUUGUGACGCUGAGCCAAUGCCUGACUAGACUGUGUCCCGGCACCGGGGAAGAGAUGAAUUUCUUGAAGCUUUAGACCCUCCCUCCUCUAUGUUACCAAAGCCCCUCGCAGGUCCCUCUCACACUGUUGUAAAUGUCUGCCUCCAUGUCUGUCUCCCCUUCCAGACUGCAUGUGGGGCAGGAACCAAAUCUCAUUCCUCUCCAUAAGCGUCUGGCACAGGGACAGUACUCAACAGAUGUUUGCUGAGUGAAUGAACGACUGGAUGGGGGAUCAAACGCAUGCACUUCCUGACAGGGCCUGUCCCUCUCAGACGUGGCUUCCCCAGCCUUCUCUUCACUACCCCCUCUGUCCUGCACAAUGCCCCCGCUCCCACAGGAACGAGCCAGACCCCUCGGCAGUUGCCAUUUAUCUUUGCAAAAAUGUUUUUGAUAGAAAGAAUGCAAUUCUGGUAAUCACAGCCCUGUAAAGUAUUUUCUUAAGUCAGGAGAGGAAUUUGAGUCAGAAAAAUAGGAAAUUUCCAGAUACCUGGGGAGAAGAUCGCAGCCGACUCCAAUCUCUCUGGUCUCCACCUCAGGUUUGGCCUGGGUUUCUGUUAAAUAGUCCAACCUGCUUUGUAGUUCAUUAUUCUAGGGAGGAGGAAAAAAAGUACUUUUAGUCAAGCAAAUAGGUUCCCCCACAAACAUGCGUGAUAAUAUGUGUUAUCCAAUUUUCCCCUAUGACAUGGAUAUCUGUCAUAAUGUAUUUAGUGAGCAUCUCUGACAUAGUAGGAAUUAAAGAAAUAGAUUGUUUGCCUCCUUACAGAUAGUUUUCUGUGCAUGUACAUACAUAUGUAUCCAAUUUUACAUCAGUGAAAACAAACAAAAUACCCUGUUCUGUGCUAAAUUUGAGGUUUUUUCACUCAGCAAUUUGUUGUGAAUAUCUUGCCAUGUUUAUUAGUUUUCUUUUUAUGUCAACAAGCUAUUUUAAUGGGUUCAUAGCGUUCCAUUGUGUGGAUGUACAUUAUUUAUUUAACUAGUCUCUUAUUGAUGGCAUUUAGAUAUUUAUCACUUCUUGCAAUUAUAAAUAAGGUACAGCUCAUGUUUUAAUACUCCCUUAUUAAACUAUAAAAUGAGUAAGUCUAUUAAUUUAAUUUAGUGGGAAAUACCUCUAUAACUUAAUAAUUAGUAUUUCAUAGGUUUGGAAAAUUCAGAAUCUCAAACAUAUAAAGUAGAACAAGCUCCUUGGGAUUAAAAUUAGCAUUCUAAAUAGUUUUUUUUUCAGGCCAGAGCCAAACAUUACAUAGGUUGAUGAUUAGAUGCUUAGGAAUUGGAAAUUUGCCCCAUGGGGGAAAUGAAGGACAAAGGAGCAAGAAGGUUGAGGUUAUUGGAAUGGAAACAGAAGAAGGAAUGGUGCCUGACACCUAAAGGGCAAACAUACACAAAAUCCAGAAAGAGGUUAACAGUGGUUAUCUCUGGGUAUUGUUUUUUGAAGUUCUUCUAUAUUUUUCUGUAAUGCUAAAUUUUCUCUUUUUGUAUAUUACUAGUUUAUUUUUUUUCAUCGUGAGAAGUGUACACUUUAAUUCCCAUCACCUAUUUCACCCAUCCCUCAACCCACGUCCCCACUGGUAAUGAUCAGUUUGUUCUCUAGAGUUAAGAGUUUGUCUCUUUUUUUUCCUUUGUUCACUUGUGUUGUUUCUUAAAUUCCACAUGAGUGAAAGCAUAUGGCAUUUGUCUUUCUCUGACUUAUUUCGCUUAGCAUUAUACUCUCUAGCUCCAUCCAUGUCGUUGCAAAUGGUAAGAUUUCAUUCUUUUUUAUGGCUGAAUAAUAUUCCAUUGUAUAAAUAUAUAACACCUCUUCUUUAUCCAUUCAUCUAUCAAUGGGCACUUGGACUGCCUCCCUAUUUUGGCUAUUGUAAAUAAUGCUACUAUAAACAUAGGGGUGCAUGUAUCCCUUUAGUUAGAAGUUUAAAAAUUAGUAUUUUUGUAUUCUUUGGGUAAACACCCAGUAGUGCGAUUACUAGAUUACCCUAGUAGUGCUAGUUCUAUUUUUAAUUUUUUGAGGACCCUCCAUACUGUUUUCUACUGUGGCUGCACCAGUUUGCAUUUCCAGCAACAGUGCAAGAGGGUUCCUUUUUCUUCACAUCCUCACCAACACUUGUAAGACUAAAUUUUCAUGAGGCAAUACCAUAUCUAUCUUCUUAGCUAUAUUCUCAGAGCAUAGCAUGUCAGAGAUGCAAGAUAAAUAUUUAUUGAAUAAAUAAAUGUAUAAAUACUUUUAUAAGGUGCAUGUAAUUUGCAUGAUUAGAAAAAAAUUAAAGCGUUUGUCUUUUCAGUUGGACCUGAAGCUAAAUCACUCCUCUAAGACACUAGAUUAACACAUGAAAGUUGAAAGGUUCUUUGAAAAAGAAGCUAAUCUGUUUCAAAAGAAAGAGUGUGGGGUGCAGCUCGGUAGCUCCUGCUCUGAAUAGGUGAUACUAAGGAGCAGAGCAGCAGCUGUCGUGUUCAAACUCAUGUUCUGUAAAGGUCUGUGGAUCCCUUCAGAAAAACUGGGAAAUGGUGGAUAGGGAGAGAAUGCGUUCCAGAUUCCCCAGCAGCUGACGAGCCAUGGCAGCUGGAUGGGCUCCAAAUCUAUCACCUAACGCUCAGGGGCGCCUGGGUGGCUCAGUCAGUUAAGCGACUGCCUUCAGCUUGGAGUCCUGGGAUCGAGUCCCGCAUCGGGCUCCCUGCUUGGCAGGGAGCCUGCUUCUCCCUCUGACCCUCCCCCCUCUUGUGCUCUCUCUCUCUCAAAUAAAUUAAAAAAAAAAAAAAAAAGAAAUAUCACCUAACGCUCAGGAUGGGAGAAUGUUGCUGGCUUACUACCUGAGGUACAACAUUUGCACACACAAGUGCACACACGUACACAUAGCUUUCCCAGCAGUAGUUGGAUUCUCGCAUUCUUUAGGAAAGACACGGACAGAAGAGGCUUGCGCAUUAACAAGCUCCAGAAACCCCACUGCCUUGUCUCUUCUCAGUGUAGAGUUUAAUAAUGAGGAUUUCACACAAUUCUGAGCUAACUACCUCUAGUUAGGGGGCAUGAAAGACAGACAAGGUUAGUAAAUAUGCCCUACUGGUACAACGAAUACAGUGAAUGGUGAACAAGGAGCCACAAAUCCUUUGUUCUAUUUCAGAGGAACUCUGUGUGUGCACAGCAGAUACCCACUAAAAGCUGAAAUGAAAAACCUGUACUCUUAAAUUUCAAUGCAAAAAAAAAAAUUUCAAAAACUAUGCAUCAGGUAGUGUGUAAAGUUAGGUGAGGGGAGCUAGGUAGCAGUUAAAGAUUGGGGCAUGAUUUGCAACCCCUGAGUUUGGUCUUGUGGGGGUACAGACAACCAAGCAGAAAAUAACAAAGUCCUAAAUCCCAUGCCAGAGAGACCCAUAGAAUGGUAAGGGAGAACUCAGAGGGGACGUGGAACUCAAGACAGGGAAAAUGAGUGAACUCCAUGAAGGUUUGCUGGAGUUAUGCAAGGGAAAGAGAGGAAGAGAAAGGGAGGAGUAUUCCAGGAUUGUGGAACAUACCAGAUUGAGAACAAGCACCUUGCUGCAGUAUACAGGUAGCAAGAGUUACAAAGGGCUACAUCUGCCUUUACAAGGACUUUAUACCCAACCCAAUAAGCCCAGAGUCAACACUAGAUUUUUAUUUCAGUCACUGGGCUUCCAGGUGGAAACUGUCUUGGAAGGAAAUAAAAAUCUGGGCAAAAGGAAAUAUGACUCCUUGAUUAGUCAAGGAGGCCACUGCAAUUUCCUAGUUCAAGGCUUGAGAGCCACAUUUAUAGCAUUGAGGAGUGGGGCACAUAACCAAUGGAUCCUCCUACAAAGAAUAGCUAUAAACUCUGGACAGGAAAAAAAAACCAUCUAUUACGGUCUUUGGAUACUGAACAAGGACAGGCAAGCUGUAGGGGCUGUGACAUGCUUAGAAUGGGUUCUCUGUGACUCAGUUGUUUGUUUUUCUUUGCAGCUUUGCCCAAAAACAGUAUAGUCGUCGUGGCAGCAGCACAGAUACUUUAGAAAUUCAACAGAAAGAUCAUCUUUCUGGUAGAUACAAAAUAGUAGGAGUCCAGCAUAACCAGGACUGCCAAGAGUAAAGGGGAAGCCAAAGAGGGAGUUAGAGAAGGCGGAAAUUUUAAACUCUGUAUAUAGACUCAAGUCUCUGGCAGGAACCCCCCCCCGCCCCCCCGAACCAUGCAUGUGUUGGGCUAAAUGAAAGAAGUUUGCAGCCAAGGCUUCAAGAACUGAACUGAGAUCUGAGCCAUCACCCACAACAGCACGGCAGGGUGGAGGUGUGUCUAACCAAAUUCAUUAGCUAAAACAAAAACCUCAGUGCUGUUCAGAACAAUAAAGCAAUCCAAAGUCUCCACAACAGAACCUUUACAAUGUCCCGAUUAUAAUCCAAAAUUACUAAAUUUGUGAAGAGUCAGGAAAAUGUGACCUAUUUCCAAGGAGAAAGAGAAUCAACAGAUGCCAAUCCUGAGAUGACUUGGAUGUUGGAAUUUUCAGACAAGGACUUUCAAGCAGCUAUUAUAUAACUGUGCUCAAUGAGGUAAAAGAAAAUAUGCUACUAACUGAUGUAGUAAAAAAAAAAAAAAUCCACAAAGAAAGAAAAUAUAAAAAAAGAACCAAAUGGAAAUUUUAGAACAGAAAAAUACAUUGCCUGAAAUUUUAAAAAAUCACUAGACUGAAGAAGAGAAUGGAGAUGACAAAGGAAGGAGUCAGUAAACUUGAAGACCUCUUAACGGAAAUCAUUCAAUCAGGGGCGCCUGGAUAGUACAGUCAGUUAAGUAUCUAGCUCUUGGUUUCGGCUCAGAUCAUAAUCUUAGGGUCAUGAGAUGGAGCCCCAUAUUUGACUCCAUGCUCAGCGCAGAGUCUGCUUAAGACUCUCUCUCCCUCUGCCCCUCCCCUGCCACACUCUAAAAUAAAUCUUUUUAAAAAAUCAUUUGAUCAGAAUAAAAUGAAGAAAGCAAAGAUUGGAAAUAAUAAAUGGAGCUUCCUGGAACUACGGGACAAUUUCUAAUGCCUAACAUAGGGAUACUGGAAUCAUAGAAGGAAAGGAUAAAGAAACUAGAGCAGGAAAAAUAGUCAAAGAAAUAAUGGCUAAACAUUUCCCAAAUUUCGUGAAAGACAUAAAUUUGCAAACCCCAAGAAUCUCAGCAAACCCCAAACAGAAUAAAUUCAAAGAGAAAUCUACCUUGGCACAUCCUAGUCAAACUACUAAAAAACAAAGAAAAAAAUCUUGAAAGCAAUCUUGUUACAUAUAUAGAGGGAAAUAAUUUGAAUUACCACAGAUGUCUCAUCAAGAACCAUAGAAGUCAGAAGACAGCACUAAGAGAAAGAAACUCAUCCCUGAAUGCUCUAUGACUCAAUAAUGAAGGUGAAAGAAAGAGCUCACUUUCAGAUCAAGAAAAACUAAGUGAAUUUGUCCCCAUGUUGCUACACUACACAAAAUGCUACAUAAAAGGUCUUCAGGCUGAAAAGAGAUGGUAUCAGAGAGAAACUGAGAUUUUCAGGAAUGAAUGAAGAACAUCAGAAAUAGAUACUGUAUGAGUAAAUAUGAAAGACUGCAUUUUCUCUUAAUUUCUCUAAAGUACAUAUGACUAAAGCAAAAAUUAUAAUGUAUUGUGGGUUUAUAAUGCAUGCAAAUAUGAUACCUAUAAUAACUAUGACAGCAGGGGGAGGGGUAAAUGGACCUACAUCAUUGCAAGAUUUCUACAUUUUACACAAAGUAGUACAAUAUUACCUUUAAGUGGACUAGGAACAGUUAAUAAUGCAUGUUGUGAUACCCAGAGCAAUGGCUAAUAUAUUAGAGAAAAGAGACACAGCAAAAUGCCAAUAGAUAUAUUAAAAUGGGAUUCUAAAAAAUAAUCCAAAAGAAUACAAGAAAGGGGGAACAAACAAAUAAGCAAAACAAACCAGAGGGAGUAAACAGAAAACAAAUAAUAAAAUGACAGACCUAAAUCCAGUCAUAUCAAUUAUUAAAUGUCAAUGGACUAUACACUCCAAUAAAAGAGACUAUCAGAAUAUAUUUUAAAAAACAAGACUUAACUAUGUAUGGUCUAUAAGAGAUGCACAUUAAAUACAGAGAGGGUGGGGGGGCUCCUGGGUGGCUUAGUUGGUUAAGCGACUGCCUUCGGCUCAGGUCAUGAUCCUGGAGUCUCGGGAUCGAGUCCCACAUCGGGCUCCCUGCUCAACGGGGGGUCUGCUUCUCCCUCUGACCCUCCUCCCUCUCGUGCUCUGUCGCAAAUAAAUAAAAUCUUUAAAAAAAAAUUUAAAAAAAGAAAAGAGAGUGGGAAAAGAUACACAAUACAAACAGUAAACUUAAGAGGGCAGGAACAGCUAUAUUAAUGCCAGAUAAGAGAGACUUCAAGACGGAAUAUGAACAAGGCAGUGACCAACAUUUCAUAAUAAUGAAAAGGUCAAUUCAUCACCAGGACAUAACAAUCAAAAAUGUAUAUGUAUCUAAUAACGGAGCUUCAAAAUAUAUGAAGUAAAAAAAACAAAGAAAUAGAUGGUCUAAAACCAUAAUAAUGGAUUUUAACACCCCUCUGUCAGCAAUUGAUACAAGUACACAAAAAUCAGGAAGAACAUAAAUCAGAUAAACAAUACUACCAACCACCUAAAUCUAACAUAUUUAUAGAACACAAAAACAGCAGCAUGCCUCUUUUUUUACACUAAGAGAAACCAUGUGCUGAGCCAUAAAACAAGUCUUGAUAAAUUUAAAAGAAUUAAAACCAUACAAAAUAUGUUCUCUGACCAUAACAAUUAAAUUAGAAAUCAAAAACAGUAUGAUACCUAAGAAAACCUCAAAUAUUUGGAGGUUAAACAAUACACUUCUGAAUAAUCCAUAAGUCAAAGAAGAAUCUGAAAGGAAAUUAGAAAAUAUUUCAAAUUGGAUGAUGAAAAUACAACCUAUCAUAGCUUGAGGGGUGCUGCUGAAACAGUGUUCAGGGGCAUUUAUAGCUGCUGAUAGUAACAAAGAACAGAGCUCUAAAAUCAAUGGCCUAAUGUCCACCUCAAGGAGCUAGAAAAAGAAGAGCAAAGUAAUACCAAAAUAAUUAGAAGGAAGGGAAUAAUGAAUAUCAGAGCAAAACUCAAUACAAUAGAAAACAGACAACAGAGAAUAUCAACAAAGCCAAAAACUAUUCUAAUUUUUUAAAACAUCAACAAAAUUGAUAAUCUCCCAGCUAGCCUGAUCAAAGAAAGGGGGGUACAAAUAAAAGGGAUCAAAGAGAAGCUAAAAGGAAACAACUGGAUAUCUAUGUGGAAAAAAAUAUAUUCCUUACUUCACACUGUUUGACAAAAACUAGCUCCAAGUGGAUUACAGAUCUCAAUUAAAAAGCAAAAACUAUAAAAUGUUUAGGGAAAACCCUAGGAGAAAAUCUCUAUGAUUUUUUGUAGUAGGCAAAGAUUUCUUAGCACACAAAAAGCAUAAACCAUAAAAGAAAAAGUUGAUAAACUGAACUUUAUCAAAAAUAAAAACCAAAAACCAUGUCUUCAAGAAAAUAAAAAGACGGGCACCUGGCUGGUUCAGUUAGCAUGUGCCUCUUGAUCUUGGGGUCAUGAGUUCGAGCCCCACGUUGGGGGUAGAGUUUACUUAAUUUAAAAAAAAAAAAAAAAGUCAUGAAAUGGGAGAAGAUAUUCACAAUACAUGUAUCUGACAACUGAUACCCAGAAUAUAAAAACAACUCUUACAACUCGAUAAUAAGAAAACGAAAAACAAAAGAGUACAAAAGAGCCCAUACUCUAGGAUUUCAUUUACCAGAGAAUGCAAACAAGUCCAUAGUGACAAAAAGUGAUAAAGUGACCCCUCCCACUGGAAAAACAAAAACAAAAACAUCACUGGCUGCCUGGAGUGGAACAGAGAAAGGGAAACAGGGAGUCUCUGGGAAGUGGUGGAACUGUUCUGUAUCUAGAUUGUGGUGGUGGUUUCACAGGUACAUACAACCGUCAAAAGUCACUGAACUAGACACUGGUUUUUUUUAGCUAUAAUCGACAGAUCACAUUAUAGUAGUUUCAGGUGUACAAAAUGAUGAUUUGCUAUUUAUAUAUACUGUGAAAUGACCACCAUAAUACGUCUAGUUCCCAUCUAUCACUAUACACUUUACACGGAUGAGGUUUAUGUAAUUGAAUACACAAGGCUGACAAGAAAAAAAAAAGGUGAGAGCCUGAAUAUGGGCAGUAGGAGACAAGUUAGAAGAGGGACAGAUUAAGAAAUAGUUAAAACCGAAAAGUGCCAGGACUCAGUCCAGGAAGACAGAGACUCUGCACUCCGUCCCACAGACUGUACCUAAAGCGAACCCACAAAGAGCAGCCUCACUACUGCCUGGCUUUGUGCUCCCUACAAGGUUGUUUGCUUCUGGGACUGAGCCUCCAGUUCCACGGUUCUCCUGCUUUCAAACAUCGCCCCCUUGUGUUCAGAUGUGAAAUGCAGCUCAGGAGGCUGCAUGCCUUCCAGGAACCAAGGACCUGAUACUGCACCUCUUGGCAUUUUUUGGAAAUUACAUCACAAAUGUACGGCAGCCACCUCCUCCCCCAACUCUCUCGGGCGCAGGGGAGGGAGCGGCUGGAGCUGUAGCACAUGCACUAAACAAGAAUGUACAUCCAAUAAAAUGCGGACAUGGAGCCCCGGUGCCUGGAGCUGCCGCCCCGCUAGUACCCUGGAAAAUUAAUAAUCGUCCCAGGAAUGCGCAAUGGACACGCUGAGAGGUUUACGUACCAUACAACACACAUUACGUGCAGGAUGAACAAAACCGGGACAUGAGACUCCUUUCCUCUGACCUUUGAAUUUUGCUGUAAGUUCAGAAUUGUCAGCAGAGAAAAAAGGAAUGAAAUCAGUUCAGAGUUUCAGAAAGCUGAUCUACUUUACGGAGGUAUAUACUUAUGAUUUUAUUUCAGUAACAGUUUCUAUAUCGGAAAUAGGGAAUGGGAUAUUCCUUCAGGAGGCAGGCAAAUAUAAAUUGUUGGGAGAAAAAGAAAAAAAAUGAGCAUAUUUUUGUAUCAGGAAGAUUUUGCAUUGCUUGAUGAAAAUGCAGUCUGAUGGGGCCAGGCUUGAGCAAACUUCUAGGGAUCUGGUGGGGCUAGGGGCUCAAAAUCUGAUGAGUAAGCAUCAGUAAGUACCAAUGAUGGAUUCAGAGACCAAAAUGUUCCACAUUUUCUAUUUUAAAAAGGAAGGUGGGGAGGAGAAGGAAGAGGAAGAAAUGUGUAUCAGUGACAAUGAAAGGAGACCCUGGGGCCCAGACAAUUGGAAAAACAGUAAACACAUAUGGCAUUUACAGUGAGCCAUGUACUUUUCGAAUCACUUAAUAUUAACUAAUCCUCGUAACAACUCUAUGGGGGAAGACACCAUUUUAGAGAAGACUCCCUUUAACAGAUGAGCAAACAGAGGCCCAGAGCAGUUAAGUAACUUGCUCAAGAUCCCAAAACUAGUACGUGGCAGAGUUGAGAAUUCAGGCAGCCUAUCUCCAGAGUCCGCAAUUAGGCCCUUAAUAAAAGGUAGCUACUUUAUUAAUAAGAUGGAAUAUAAGAGGUUACCAGAUCUGUCUAUCAAAACUUCGCAAGGAUAUUUGAAAUACCACUUUUGGCAUCAUUCUGGUUUAAAGCAGGCGAUGGAAAGCUGUGGUAUAAAAAGGACUGGUGUUAGAACAGGCCAAGAGCAUAGAAAUUCUAAGUGGCCAACAGAACCCUGCAUUGUAAAGUGAUAUAAUUAAAUUUGGAAAAUGUCAGUGUGACUUCAUAAUCUCAGAAAGACACAUAUUGCCCCCAAUUCUGUCAUGAUUAAAAUCGGCCUAACAGUAGACACAGUGCUUUAGCCAUGACCAGUUCCCAUGUCCAGGUAGUUUUCAACAUAGUUCACCACUAAAAUGAACCAGGCCUCCUUGGAGACAAGCCAAUACCACAUCUUGAAACCGGACAAAAACGAGGAUGGCAAGAAUGAACCCAGAAGCAUCAGGAACCCUGCGAUAGAGGCAAAGAAGCUGAUGGAAGAGAACUCUCCCCAGCUGAGUCGUGACAAUUUGGGCAUCAAAAAAAGGAGGAGGAGAAGGAAACUAUUAUUACGGAAACAAGGUGGUCUGAGAAAUACCUUAUGUUCAACAGUGUCUCUCAAAGGGAAAGUUAAUAGAGAGUGUACACAAAGAUAGUUUUAAGAGAAAAAAGGGUGACCAUAAUAAGCUAUGUCACAAUUUAUAUUGAUUUUUAAAACUAGAAAGCAUUAAAAAAAACAAACUAGAAAGCAUUAAUAUAUAAGGUGAUGUAGUUUCUUUUAUAGAGUAUUAAUUAUAUGUUUGUUUAUAAAAUUUGUGUCGAGUAAGAAAGAAUUACAAAAUGAAUGAAAAGUCAGGCCAUCCCAGGACGUUAGGGCCCACGGAAGGACUGCUUGGCAUUGGUAAUCCUACGAGAACCAGGUGGGAGGAGGGGCAGAGACCCACUGCCAUUAGCAGGUACAUACACUUAACAAGGAACCAACAGUCCGCAGUGUGUUUGUACCGUAAUAAACUAGGCAAGCAGCCUGAAGAGGAAAACCAAGUACUCAAACUCAACCUCUCAUCUCCUAGGAGAUGAAAUCUAUCUACCUGGCCCAAUAAAGUAGGGUAAAAUGUUAAUAAGGAAUACAUAGUUCUUAAUAGUUCUGAAAACUAGGUCAGUGCAUCACGAUGAUAAGGGGUCCUGACUUUGAAUCGCCUUGAAGCCUGAGUGUACCCCCGUCCCCCCGAGGAUCAGCAGCCUCUGACCUUAGCUACUCAGAAAAGUUACUCUGUCUCCUUUGGAUCUGAAAGAUCCCUGCCCCUGUCUGGAAAGUGUUACAAUGAUGUUAACUCUAAGAACACACUGAAAUUAGUAAAACAGCCCUGGGAAGAUAUAAAAAAUAAGAACAGAAACAACAAAGAAAUAAACACUAACCCGCAUCCCCCAGGAGCAGGCCUCAACCAAUGGCCGGAGGGAGUCAGUGGACCAAGGCCCAGCUCUCCGACCUUUAGGUAAGGACAACUCAAGAGGCCAGUGCGCAGCGUCUCCUGGAGACCGCCCGGUGGGAGUGAGCUGCGGCUGCCACGAUGGCAGCCUCCUCGGCAAGGCACCAUCCUCUCCCUGACUCAUCCCCCCACCUUCCUCUACUGGGGCUUCCUGGGAUCGUCCACCAAACCUACCAUGUGGACUAAUAGCCACAUCUCAGGGUCUGGGCAAGAGGGGCUUAAGAACUCGAGCAUUAAAGCCCCCGCGUGUGUGAUGCUGUUCUCUACGCACAGGAUCCCCUUGUGCUUUCAUAAUCUACUAGCAGGAGAGCUGGCUUGAGGGGCACAGGGUGUGGGGGGGCGCUGGUGGGCACUGCCUCUCCUGUCAGCAUCUUCUUCCCCUCUCUGGACCCACGGGCUCCCACCAGGACACUCGCUUCAGAUCUCACUGGGGAAGAAGGUGUGAUUCCUCCCACUGGGAGCUGUGAUUUGGGAGGAAGUUCUUAGAAACGUCCCAUCGUAAGGCUGGAGCUGCACAUAGGGACUGCGGAGAGGAAGGCAGGAGGGGGACAGGGCAAGUGCCCAUUUACUCGGCUGUCCCCACACGGAGACUCUUGAGCUUGAAUCUACCCCCAGGUCCCUGUGGGCCAUGACUUUUAUAGGCAGCUCCCCAAACACAGAGUACAUGAAAACACAGUUCGUCCUUCCCACAAACACAGUGGUUAAGAGCCCAGGCUUUGAAUUCAGGCUUACCCAUUUCUACUGUCACCUUGGGCAGGCUCCUUCAUGCCCCUGAACCUCAGUCUGCCCAUCUAUAAAAUGGGAGAAAGACAAUCUAAUUCCUAGGGCAUUAACUUAAGAGGUUAAGAAACAUGCCAGGCACGUUCUCUGCACUCGCACUGCCCGGUCACACACAUGUAGGUGAGCUACCAUCCUCGUUCUGUAAUUCUAAGAAAGCUCCCAGCAUCACCCAGCUAAUAAGAGGCAGAUCUAGGGUUCAAACUUGGGCAAGUCUGAUUCCGCUCUUAGCCUCCACAUUACACAAAGCAUGUGGAAAGCAGUUAACAGCGCCCAGCGACACCAGGUGCUUCACCAAUGUCAUCUCUGUCCUGUCUCCGUCCUUCAUCAUUGUCUCCUGGGCUGUCUCCCUCGGGGGAAGAACUAUGUUGAGGGCCACAGACAAGGAGAGAUUCAUGAGGCUCAAAAGGAAGAGGCUCAAUGCCAAGCUCUUAAUAAAGAGCCUUCAGAGUGAAUAGAUAUUGGCUUCUCCUUCCAUUAAUACCUAAGCUCUUAAGGUUCUUCCAACUCCAUAAUUUCCUUUUCUGGAACCUACACCAAAUCUUCAAAAUGACUUUCAAAAAAGCCAGAAAGUCAGGAAGACUAAAUAUCUUCAAAGUUUCAGGUGAAAUUAAGUCACCUCUAAACCUGUUGACUCAGUGUCAGAGCAGUGGAUUCGGAACCCAUCUCUCAGCUUUGGCUCCAGCGUUAACCAAGCUGGGUGAUCGUGAGCAAAACCACCUGCCUUCUCCGGGCCUCCUCUUAUUUUUUUUUUCUGGGCCUCCUUUUGAAACAUUUGUCAAUAUAAAGUAAUGAUCCUUGUCUUGCCUUUCUUAAAGUUGCUGAGAGAACCAUGUGAGGAAUGUCCAUGAAAAUACCUCACAAGUUAUAAAGCCCUACAUACAUGUGGGAAAUUAUCAGUGUUAUUUAACAGCUUAUCAGACUUGCUAGGAAAAUUCUUGAACAAGAAAAAUGAGAGCCAAAAAGCAGAGGUGGGCAGCAGUCUGGGAUAAGGAGAGUCAGUUGGUAAAGAAAAACUAGCUGUCAGAAUCUCAUUUUCAGUGUUGGCAGUUAACCUUCAAUCAAUUUUAUAAGGCCAGGAAAUAGCCAUAUUUUUAAUUAAGUGUCUGUGGUAGGCUCAGCAACAUAAAAUUUAAUGAUAGAGAAGACACCAGCUUAAAGAAACACAGCUUCUUACCUCUCCUUCUAAGAACGAGAUCUUUUCUAAAAGCUGCAAUAUUAAGAGCUGUUUCUGCUGCACCUUUUUCUUUAAUGAUUCAAUCUAGAAAGAAACAAAUUAAAAAUUGUUAAUAAAAACAAUAAAGAAUUGUAGAAGUACAAGUUAAUCAACCGGAAGAGACGCCUUUGGUUUUCAUCUAAAUAGAACCCUCACUUUGGUUCUCUGUGUCUCAUGGAACAGUGUUUAACACGAGUUGCUCCCCGGAAUAGAGGGUUCUGCAGCCACAUGAUUUUGGAGUCACAUCUCAUUAGGUUUGUUUGACACACUGAUUUUGCUGUGUAACCCUUAUUAACAUCCCAUAUAUGUGCCAGAGAGCAUGCUUUGGGAGAUGCAGAUGCAACUCUACAUAAAAUAAUUAUUCAGCUUAAAUUUGUGAGGCAGCCCACAUUUCAAACAUUCAGCGCUGUUAUUCCUGCUAGUAGAUUCAUAUUUGUUCAAGCAGGUGUCAAAAGUUUUGGUCUGGGAAAAGGGUCACUGUCACUAAAAGUGCAAGUGGAAUUAAGAGGAUCCAGGACUCAUGUGGCCUGGGAUAAAGAGACUUGAGCUGGGUGUUCACCUUUGUUUUUACAACAUGGUCUAUCUUCAGCUACUCUAACUCUGCUUUUCAUUCAUCUCAUGUUCCACAGACCAACCAUAGAUGCCCUAAAAGCAGGAACCAGGGUGCUCUAUUCCAGGCUAUGUUGUAGACGAUAGACAAUCGUGGGAACAGUAUGCGGGUUCAGUCAAUAACUGGUGAUUUUGAAGAACACGCUAAUUUUCCAACAAUCUCGUAUAUUCAAUUUGUGCAUUUGCAAAAUCUUUUUGAAAAAUCCUUCUCAGUGCAAAAUGACACAUAAUCCCCCUUUAGAAGUGAAUCUGGAAGGAGCUAGGAUAAGAAAAAAGUACAACUGCAUUGCCCUUUGACCCAGCAAUCCCAUUCCUAGAAAUAGAUCCCCAAAGACACAUUGGCUAAAAUAUAAAAUGACUUGGGCGCCUGGGUGGCUCAGAUGGUUAAACAUCUGCCUUCGGCUCGGGUCAUGAUCCCAGGGUCCUGGGAUCGAGUCCCGCAUCGGGCUCCUGGCUUGGCGGGGAGCCUGCUUCUCCCUCUGACCCUCUCCCCUCUCAUGCUGUUUCUCUCCUGCUCACUCUCUAAUAAAUAAAUAAAUAAGAUUUAAAAAUAAAUAAAUAAAUAAAUAAAUAAAUAAAAUAUAAAAUGACUUGGACGAAGGAUUUUUGGUUUUUAGAAGACACAAAGGAAACAGAACUCCAUCAAUCAAUAAGUGGCUAGUUAAAUAAACCACGGUUCAUCAUGACAAUGGACAGCUAUGAAGAUCUUUAGAACAGAUACGGUAUAUUGUAAGGAAUAUACAGUAUGAAAGCUUUAGCGUAAAACAGAUGAGGCCAUCUGAAUGCAUAUAUAUUUGCAAAAAGAAAUUCUGCAAAGAUCAAAGAAACCUUAAUUAUUAAGAAAUACUUGCCAACAGGGAAAGAAGGAAAUUAGAGGAGGCAGAAGAAAAGAUUUUUUGAUAAUACCUUCUUACCUACAUUUAAUUUUGAAAGCACAUUUUAGAGAUUAAGAGAAUAAAACUAAACCAAAAAGAAAAAAAAGCGAAUCUGAAAACUUGAAAACAAAUCGAAAUAAAGGAACUUAACUGUAUAUCCAGUUGGUGAAAAUAACUCAAGUGUUGUUUGAACAAGCUAAUUUGAUUCUGUUUUUAGUGGAUUGUAUUCUAAAAAUAAACAGAACUGCAAAGAAAUCUCGUAUUCACUAGGAAAACUGUUGGUAAUAAUAUUGGUAUUGUUGUUUUGAAACUAUUUGAGAUUUUGCAGUAUAAUAAUGUUUGGAACCAAGGUUUUAGUGUAAGAGAAAGAAAUACAAUGUGAAAUCAAAGAAAUAAAGUUUUGUUAAAUUUGAAAUGAAAAUAUCGGUAUGAACUCAUAAUUAAUAUUUUAUUUUCAUUUGUUAAGUAUGCUUUUCCUAACUCUGUCCACUGAGGAAACUUAGAUAUAAUAACAACAAUAAGCACAUAACAUAUCCAGAUUGUGGCAUCUAAAUACCAACCCUCACCAACAAAACACAGGUCAUCUUGGAGGAACAACUCAUUUCAAGGUGUAAAAAUAUGCUAGGGGAACCCAAGACACCUUGUGAUGCCUGAAAACAAAUACUUGAAGGGUCUCCCUUGGGCCAAGGAUUGGAACAAUGUUAGCAUCAAAAAGAAUAAUGAAUGUAAUUGAGUCAAACACAUGGAAUAAAUAUGUUUUUAAAACCUUGA